AUUAAAAGGAGAAUGUUUGAGUUAUAUUAGAACAUAAUGCGAAAGAUAUAUUUAAUAAGAUUUUUUUUUUUUUUUUUUUCCAUUAGUGAAAAAUGCCAUCGCCAUGUUAAGAGCUCUGCCAUCCAUGUUUCCUUCACUUUCUCUACCCCCAAAAAAGCUGGGAAACAAAACAUGAGGCAUUAGUUCAUGGCCUUAAGACCUCCGAGAAUCCUGAUGCCUUUCUACAGCAAAGACUGACCACUGACUAGCGCUGCCCUUAUUGUGGACCAAGAUAACUGCAUGCUAGCUAUUGGAAGUGACCAUUUGACAACUUUCCCUCAAGAAAUGUUGUAGGAAGGUAUCAUGUACCUUAUGGCGUACUAUUAUGCACUACAUCUAACAUAUCCUAAGUGCAUUGCCGCGGUCCUCUCUGCAAUUCAAACUGAAAUAUUACUGGAUGCAAUUUGAAGGGAAAAUACAAAUAUGCUAGAAGAAAAAUUGUGAGCGCCAAAUGUAGAACAGGAAAUGCAUGUCUAUGAUGUACUGUAUAUAAUUACCAUUACCAUAUUUGAAAAUCAAUUGGAUAAAUUGUAGAUAAUUUGAUAUUUUGUGGAUUGUAACAUGUUAGGUUGUAUUUUCUUUGUCUUGUUUUUUGGCAAAGUUACCACUGUUAAAAUUUUGCUUAUGUAAUUAAGUUUGUUAUGCAUUUCUGACUGUGACAAGAUGAGACAGUCCUGAACUACAAUGUACAAUAAUGAUAUGGAUAUGACGUUUGUGUUAUAUACAAGGUAAUCUUCCUGUGUCAACUAAUUUUCAUGUGCUUAUGUUUUUCUCUGUUUCUGUAUUGUAAACACAGCAGUAGUGCUGUUGGAUACUGAUGUAAUACUUAAAUAAAGAGCAAUGUUAAUGA